rnacentral:rRNA from 1 species
AGAAUCAACGCUGGCGGCGUGCCUAACACAUGCAAGUCGAACGAGAAAGUGGAGCAAUCCAUGAGUAAAGUGGCGCACGGGUGAGUAACACGUGACUAACCUACCCUUGAGUGGGGGAUAACCUAGGGAAACCUGGGCUAAUACCGCAUAAUACCUUCGGGUCAAAGGAGCAAUUCGCUUAAGGAGGGGGUCGCGGCCGAUUAGUUAGUUGGCGGGGUAAUGGCCCACCAAGACGAUGAUCGGUAUCCGGCCUGAGAGGGCGCACGGACACACUGGAACUGAAACACGGUCCAGACUCCUACGGGAGGCAGCAGUGGGGAAUUUUGCGCAAUGGGGAAACCCUGACGCAGCAACGCCGCGUGGAGGAUGAAGUCCCUGGGACGUAAACUCCUUUCGAUCGGGACGAUAAUGACGGUACCGGAAGAAGAAGCCCCGGCUAACUUCGCGCCAGCAGCCGC